rnacentral:lncRNA from 1 species
UUUUCAUUCAAACUCUUCUCCUUCCUUUGCUUUGAAUCUCCUCCAACAACCUUUACGACCUACUCGACGCUCGUUCACCCUCCCAACCUUUCAUCGAUCACCACAGCAAUCAUCCACUACCCACUACCGAUAAUCACAUCUUUCAUCACCGCCGAUUACCACUAUCCACCUCUUUUACCACAACCGUCGGCGAACACCCUCCAUCUCCGACACUAAUUAUCCGCUCGCUUGUACGCAAGUAAUUCAGUCGACUCGGGAAUCAGGUAUGAAUGCUUACUAUUUCUCUAUGCUUGUGAGAUUUAUUUUGCAGAUUUCGAUCGCUUUUGUCCAUACUCAAUCUCCAUUUGGACGAAAGUGUUUCGAAUAAUCAAAAGACAAGCGUCCCAUGUUGAAGCAGCCGCGAAUGAAAUGCUAUACGGUUGCUGUGGAACAAGGCUCAUAGGAAUUCAACCGUGUCAAAUCAGGGGAGUCUGUUCCAUUUAUCUUUGUAUAUUUAUUUAUAUUGGUAGUUGUGUCGUAGAUAGUUUCUCGCUCCAUUGAGGACAAUGAAGGAAUUAAGUGUGGGGAGGGGAGACUAGCGUUUGUCUAGUUGUGUCUUAGUGUCUUGUCGUGUCGUAAAUAUAAAAAAUUUAAAAAAAAUGAAAAAAAUCAAAAAUCCAAAAAAAAAUUAAAAAAAAUAGAAAAUGUCUCGAGAAAAUUUUUGCAAUAAAUGGAAAAUGAUAGCUACAAUUGGAUCGUUGGCAUUUGAUUACUAUAUAUAUGAGAUAAUAAAUGGUCGAGCAUGCGUCUAACUUAGGAUAUGUGGGUAGACCCAGCCGGUUGAAAGGUUCCUUAGGCUUGAUAUAAAAUAACUUAAAUUGGGAGUCUUGUGGGUUCCCGCCUUAAGAGCUAUGGUAAAACUGAAACUGUGGAGAGUAUAAGGGGUAUGUCAUAAGUAAAAAACUUAUAAGUUUUUCCGAUUAAAUUGGCACACCUGUUUCUUUUUGUGAAAACAAAUCCGAAACAGUGUGGCGCCCAAAAAAUUAUUCCAUCCAUUUAUCUGAGCACAUGCAAAAAAAAAAAAAAAAACGUGAAGUUUAUGGCAUUAACCAUGGGGAUGGUGACUCGUGUGGCGUAUGUCCGCUGAACUGAUCGUAUACAAAAGCAUGUAAAGCUCACAAAUCCAUCUAUCCAUCAUAAAGUUUAAUCGGAAUAAUAUAAAAGUUUUUUAUAUAAGACGGUAGAUUAUAAAUCUUUUAAUCUCAUAAGCUUGAAGCAGGAUUAGGUGGUGUUGUAGUCUUUUGAGUGUGGGAUCCAUAGAUAAAUAUAAAUUACUUGAACUUAAAUGAAUCAUGAAUAAGGGCUUGUAAGCUGGUGGUUGGGUUUAAGUGGAUCAUAUACCUGCAAUCUUGGUUAAUGUAUGGUUUGAUUUGUUAAUAAAAUAAUUGAAUAUAUUGAAUGCCAAUCUUCUUAUUGUGAUUCCAUUGCAGAUAAUUUUUUCGGGACGAAAAAAGAUAAGUGUGGGGAAUUGAUCGGUACAAUUUUUGUACACUUUAUUUAGUAAUAAUCAUAAUAAAAAUGCAUCGAUACGAGUUCUAAGUAUAUUAGUUUGAAGUGUUUUUAUAUCUUUGUGGUUUAGAGAAAAUGAGUUUAAAUCAAAUAAUUAUAAUAAAAUAAGAUAUAAAAAUAAAUUUGGAAAAUCAUGUUUGCAUUUAAUAAUGAGGAAAAUUGUUUUGUUUCUCAAAUUUUGGAGC